UUAAAAUCCUUUUUAAGGAAGCGUUUUCUUCUAAUAUCAACAAAUGUGUUCUUGUAUCAAAGGCUGAGACCAAAUAAAGCAACAUCUCCUGCACCGUCCAGCACAUCUCUGAGAAGUGACCAGUCACUGGAUCGACCGAUACUGUUCAAAGAUGAAGCACCAAGUAUGAGAAUGAGACCAGAUAAAAUAACAUCUCCAGCACCUUCUUCUACAUCUCUGCAAAGUGACCAGUCACUGGAUCGACCGAUACUGUUUAACGAUGGAGCUCUGGGGAAUGAAAGGUAUGAGCAUUGAAAAUUUCUGUUGGGAUGCACAAGUUUUGGUAUAAAUUCAGUAUUCGC
rnacentral:lncRNA from 1 species